GUAGCUAAGUUCGGAAUUGAUAAGCGCUGAAAGCAUCUAAGCGCGAAGCGAGCCCUGAGAUGAGUCUUCCCUGAUACUUUAAGUAUCCUAAAGGGUUGUUCGAGACUAGAACGUUGAUAGGCAGGGUGUGUAAGCGUUGUGAGGCGUUGAGCUAACCUGUACUAAUUGCCCGUGAGGCUUAACCAUACAACACCCAAGGGGUUUUGUA
rnacentral:rRNA from 1 species